CCUACGGGAGGCAGCAGUGGGGAAUAUUGGGCAAUGGAGGAAACUCUGACCCAGCGACGCCGCGUGCGGGAUGAAGGCCUUCGGGUUGUAAACCGCUUUCAGUAGGGAAGAAGCGAAAGUGACGGUACCUACAAAAGAAGCACCGGCUAACUAUGUGCCAGCAGCCGCGGUAAUACAUAGGGUGCAAGCGUUGUCCGGAAUUAUUGGGCGUAAAGAGCUCGUAGGUCGUUUGUUACGUCGGAUGUGAAAACCUGAGGCUCAACCUCAGGCCUGCAUUCGAUACGGGCAAACUAGAGUUUGGUAGGGGAGACUGGAAUUCCUGGUGUAGCGGUGGAAUGCGCAGAUAUCAGGAGGAACACCAAUGGCGAAGGCAGGUCUCUGGGCCAAUACUGACACUGAGGAGCGAAAGUCUGGGGAGCGAACAGGAUUAGAUACCCUGGUAGUCCAGACCGUAAACGGUGGGCACUAGUUGUGGGAACCUUCCACGGUUUCUGCGACGCAGCUACGCAUAGUGCCCGCCGUCGGGAGGUACGAGUCGCGAAGAAGUUAAAACUACAAAUAGAAGUUAAGUACGGU
rnacentral:rRNA from 1 species